rnacentral:rRNA from 1 species
AGUGAACGCUGGCGGUAGGCCUAACACAUGCAAGUCGAACGGCAGCACAGUAAGAGCUUGCUCUUACGGGUGGCGAGUGGCGGACGGGUGAGGAAUACAUCGGAAUCUACUUUUUCGUGGGGGAUAACGUAGGGAAACUUACGCUAAUACCGCAUACGACCUACGGGUAAAAGCAGGGGAUCUUCGGACCUUGCGCGAUUGAAUGAGCCGAUGUCGGAUUAGCUAGUUGGCGGGGUAAAGGCCCACCAAGGCGACGAUCCGUAGCUGGUCUGAGAGGAUGAUCAGCCACACUGGAACUGAGACACGGUCCAGACUCCUACGGGAGGCAGCAGUGGGGAAUAUUGGACAAUGGGCGCAAGCCUGAUCCAGCAAUACCGCGUGGGUGAAGAAGGCCUUCGGGUUGUAAAGCCCUUUUGUUGGGAAAGAAAAGCAGCAGGUUAAUACCCCGCUGUUCUGACGGUACCCAAAGAAUAAGCACCGGCUAACUUCGUG